UCCAGUGUGGUAUAGUGGUUUGAGUGCUUGACCAUGACUCAGGAGACCAGGGUUUGAAUCCCCACUCAAC